CAACAUGGCAUGUGUAUACCUAUGUAUCAAACCUGCACGUUGUGCACAUGUACCCUAGAACUUAAAGUACAGUAAAAAAAGACAAUAAUAAACUAUCAAACCAUAAAAAAAAAUUUUUGAGUGAUUAUAUCAUUUUUUAUAAUUUGAAGCUGUUAAUUACAUUUCUUUAAGAGAUUACAAGCUUCACUUGAUGCUCUGAAAACUAAUAGUGGAAAUUUGGUUUCUCCUUAAACAUUAGUCUUGAAAAAUGCAGGUUUUCAUUAUCUUUUUUUUUUUAAAUUUUCAGAACAGGAAGGGAUUGUUUAGCUGAAAUGGAAGAUUUGAUAUCUGAACAAGGAGUUCUAAAUAAUUCUCUGCACCUUAAUCUGCCAAUACUCACUCUAAAACUACACAAAGGAGAUUCAAAAUAAAAAGAGGAUGAUAAACGGCAAAACCAUCUGAGCACUUCUUUAAUUUCUUCUUCUAACAACUGUGAAGUGGUCAAAAGGCAGAAAUGAGGAGGAAAGCAAAAAAGAAGAAGCCACAGGGUGUAGAUAAUCCACAAACAAGCUAAUUGGUCCCUGGGUAAUUGCUGACUCUCUUCAGCAGCCAUGCAAUGGAGAUUUCCAGGAAAAUGUAAAUACUGUAUUUAUAUCUGUUCAAAUUUUGUUUUCAAGAAUAAAAGUACUAAUCAGAUGGGUUUAAGUAUUUGAUAAGAAUCUCUAAUCUAUGGCUGUUUUCUAAAUAUUUGGACAUUGUCAUUGCUUUACCAUGCAGUUUUAUUUUUACUCAGCUGUAACUGAACACAAUUCUAACUAUAGCACUGGAAACUAGAUUGGAAACUGUAUUCUCCUCUGUGCCUUAUUUCUCUUCUCUCUUCGUAUUGUGGUUCUUACUCAGUUCUGUCAGUGACAAGCUAUAUAACCUUGUUCAAUUAUUU
rnacentral:lncRNA from 10 species